rnacentral:rRNA from 1 species
AGAACGAACGCUGGCGGCAUGCCUAACACAUGCAAGUCGAACGAAGCCUUCGGGCUUAGUGGCGCACGGGUGCGUAACACGUGGGAAUCUGCCCUUAGGUACGGAAUAACUCAGGGAAACUUGAGCUAAUACCGUAUGAUGUCUUCGGACCAAAGAUUUAUCGCCUAAGGAUGAGCCCGCGUCGGAUUAGCUAGUUGGUGGGGUAAAGCCUACCGAAGGCGACGAUCCGUAGCUGGUCUGAGAGGAUGAUCAGCCACACGUGGGGCUGAGACACGGCCCAGACUCCGUACGGGAGCAGCGAGGUAGGGGAAUAGUUAGGACAAGUGGGACGAAACGCCUAGAUUCGAAGCAAGUCGACCGCGGUA